CCUACGGGUGGCAGCAGUGAGGAAUAUUGGUCAAUGGACGAGAGUCUGAACCAGCCAAGUAGCGUGAAGGAUGACUGCCCUAUGGGUUGUAAACUUCUUUUGCCGGGGAGCAAGCCUGAGCACGUGUGCCCAGGCGGAGAGUACCCGGAGAAAAAGCAUCGGCUAACUCCGUGCCAGCAGCCGCGGUAAUACGGGGGAUGCGAGCGUUAUCCGGAUUUAUUGGGUUUAAAGGGUGCGCAGGCGGGCUGUUAAGCCGGCGGUAAAAAUUCAGGGCUCAACCCUGUCGAGCCGUCGGAACUGGCAGUCUUGAGUGGGCGAGAAGUAUGCGGAAUGCGGGGUGUAGCGGUGAAAUGCAUAGAUAUCACGCAGAACGCCGAUUGCGAAGGCAGCAUACCGGCGCCCAACUGACGCUGAGGCACGAAAGCGUGGUGAUCGAACAGGAUUAGAUACCCUAGUAGUC
rnacentral:rRNA from 1 species